UACAGAGGGUGCGAGCGUUAAUCGGAAUUACUGGGCGUAAAGCGUGCGUAGACGGUUAUGUAAGUCAGAUGUGAAAGCCCCGGGCUCAACCUGGGAAUGGCAUUUGGGACUGCAAGGCUGGAGUGUGGCAGAGGAGACUGGAAUUCCUGGCGUAGCAGUGAAAUGCGUAGAUAUCAGGAGGAAUACCGAUGGCGAAGGCAGGUCUCUGGGCUGACACUGACGCUCAUGCACGAAAGCGUGGGGAGCAAACAGG
rnacentral:rRNA from 1 species